UACGUAGGGUGCAAGCGUUAAUCGGAAUUACUGGGCGUAAAGCGUGCGCAGGCGGUUUUGUAAGUCUGACGUGAAAUCCCCGGGCUUAACCUGGGAACUGCAUCCGAUACUGGUCGGCUUGAAUCCGGGAGAGGGAUGCAGAAUUCCAGGUGUAGCGGUGAAAUGCGUAGAUAUCUGGAGGAAUACCGGUGGCGAAGGCGGCAUCCUGGACCGGCAUUGACGCUGAAAAGCGAAAGCUAGGGGAGCAAACGGG
rnacentral:rRNA from 1 species